rnacentral:lncRNA from 1 species
GAGCUGGGCUGGUGUGCGCGCGGCCGGAGUCUGUGGAGCUGGAAAUUCACCGGUCCAGGAAGACGUCUUUCCCGCGUCCCAGCACCGGUCCAGAAAGACGUCUUUCCCGCGUCCCAGCACCUCGGGCCACGCUCCUUCGUGAGAGCGCCCUCUCCAAGGAGGCCGGCCCUGGAUAUUUCACCCAAAAUAUUUAUUUUUUCUUUUUUUCUAGCUGGAGUGCAGUUGCCUGAUAUCAGCUCACUGCAACCUCCACCUCCCAGGCUCAAGCUAUCCUCCUGCCUCAGCCUUCCAAGUAGCUGGGACCACAGGUUCUCCCUCUGUCACCCAGAGCUGGAGUGCGGUGGCAUAAUCACAGCUAAUUGCAGCCUCAACAUUCCAGGCCCAAGGAUCCUCCCUUCAGCCUUCCAGAGUCGGGGGUCUCCCUAUGUUUCCCAGGCUGGCCUCGAACUCCUGACCUCAA